GAAGGAUGAUGGGAUGGUAUAUUGUUUAAAUUGAGGGAGGACAGGGUGGUAUAUUGUUUAAAUUGAGGGAGGAGGGGAUGGUAUAUUGUUUACAUUGAGGGAGGACAGGGUGGUAUAUUGUUUAAAUUGAGGGAGGACUGAGUGGUAUAUUGUUUAAAUUGAGGGAGGACAGGAUGGUAUAUUGUUUAAAUUGAGGAGGAGGAUGGGAUGGUAUAUUGUAUAAAUUGAGGGAGGACAGGAUGGUAUAUUGUUUAAAUUGAGGGAGGACAGGAUGGUAUAUUGUUUAAAUUGAGGGAGGACAGGAUGGUUAAUUGUUGAUGGAGGGAGGAUGGGGUGGUAUAUUGUUUAAAUUGAGGGAGGACGGGAUGGUAUAUUGUUUAAAUUGAGGGAGGACAGGGUGGUAUAUUGUUUAAAUUGAGGGAGGACAGGGUGGUAUAUUGUUUAAACUGAAGGAGGACAGGGUGGUAUAUUGUUUAAAUUGAGGGAGGACAGGGAGGUAUAUUGUUUAAAUUGAGGGAGGACAGGGUGGUAUAUUGUUUAAAUUGAGGGAGGACAGGGUGGUAUAUUGUUUAAAUUGAGGGAGGACAGGGAGGUAUAUUGUUUAAAUUGAGGGAGGACGGGAUGGUUAAUUGUUGAUUGAGGGAGGACGAAGCGGAUAAUUGUUGAUGGAGGACAAGGUGGUUAAUUGUGUGGCUGGUGAAGAUGAGGGGUUAAUAUUAAAGCUAAAUUGGGAUAUAAGUAGUAGGAUAGUAGGACUGGAAAUUAAGAUCUCGAGGAUAGAGAUGGUGAUGUCUCUAUGACUUUAAUAGCACUAAAAUAUUUUACUCCAUACUGCUGAAAACGAAAUGAGUCGACUUUGGUCAUACUGAUUUGGGACGCUUAUAAACGUCUGUGUCAGCCUGUCUGUGCCUCCAAGGAGUAGGUCGAUCUGGGGACUUUGGAACUUGGAGCAGCUACAAUCGGUGUCGCACGUACAAAACACUCUCCUCUCACCAUCUUCUGUUGGCAGACUCUGGUUGUAAUGUUUCUGGGUGGGGUGUUGAUGGAACUGAGGUACUCUGGGGUCUUUAGGGUUGGUGGGGUGUUGAUGGAACUGAGGUACUCUGGGUCUUUAGGGGUGGUGGGGUGGGGUGUUGAUGGAACUGAGGUACUCUGGGUCUUUAGGGGUGGUGGGGUGGGGUGUUGAUGGAACUGUGGUACUCUGGGUCUUUAGGGUUGGUGGGGUGUUGAUGGAACUGAGGUACUCUGAGUCUUUAGGGGUGGUGGGGUGGGCUGUUGAUGGAAGUGAGGCACUCUGGGGACGGUAUCUUUCGCAUGGGGUUUGUAUUAGAUAGUGUUGUUUCUUACUGACAGAGAUUUCACAGACAUUUUGGACAGAAUUAGGUGAUCAUAAAUCCGUAGUUUGGACUAAAGAGCACAUAUAUUAUUACAUAAUGGAUAUGGGGUCUUUGGGGAUAUUGUGUGGUUAGGACACCUAUGCCCCCCUAAGGAAGGUGGGUGUAGGAGGUAUCCAAUCAGGUGUGUGUGGGUAGGACAUCUAAUGCCC